rnacentral:rRNA from 1 species
UACGAAGGGGGCUAGCGUUGCUCGGAAUCACUGGGCGUAAAGGGUGCGUAGGCGGGUCUUUAAGUCAGGGGUGAAAUCCUGGAGCUCAACUCCAGAACUGCCUUUGAUACUGAGGAUCUUGAGUACGGGAGAGGUGAGUGGAACUGCGAGUGUAGAGGUGAAAUUCGUAGAUAUUCGCAAGAACACCAGUGGCGAAGGCGGCUCACUGGUCCGGUACUGACGCUGAGGUGCGAAAGCGUGGGGAGCAAACAGG